rnacentral:lncRNA from 1 species
CCACUGCUAUUUUACACUCGAUCAACCACCCCAGCAGAGGCCGGAGAUUGCCUAAGAAUGAGAGCAUUGCGCUGCUUCCAAAUGUGCCAGCAAGCCGCGAGAAAGACCAUUUCGAGGACAAGGAGGCAUCUAAAGUGGUGGGAACUCUGCUAAAACGCCCAAGCAUGGAGCCAGAAGCAUGGGCGGAGCCACCGCCUGGCUACCCCGGGCAACUGCCCGGGCUCCCCCCUUGAUCUCCCUUUAAGAUGAAGUAAGCAUGGUGGUUAAAUUGACAGAUUUUUGUGCGUAAAUUUUAGUUCAGAAGAAUGAUACUCCCUCCGUCCAACAAAAGAUGUCUCAAGUUUGUCAAAAUUUGGAUAUAUCUAGACAUGACUUAGUGUAUAGAUGCAUUCAAAUUUAGUCAAAAUUGAGAUAUCUUUUGUUGGAAGAAGGGAGUAUGUGCUUUACCCAGGCUUCAUCAA